rnacentral:rRNA from 1 species
ACGCUGGCGGCAGGCCUAACACAAGCAAGUCGAGCGGUAGAGAGAAGCUUGCUUCUCUUGAGAGCGGCGGACGGGUGAGUAAUGCCUAGGAAUCUGCCUGGUAGUGGGGGAUAACGUUCGGAAACGGACGCUAAUACCGCAUACGUCCUACGGGAGAAAGCAGGGGACCUUCGGGCCUUGCGCUAUCAGAUGAGCCUAGGUCGGAUUAGCUAGUUGGUGGGGUAAUGGCUCACCAAGGCGACGAUCCGUAACUGGUCUGAGAGGAUGAUCAGUCACACUGGAACUGAGACGCGGUCCAGACUCCUACGGGAGGCAGCAGUGGGGAAUAUUGGACAAUGGGCGAAAGCCUGAUCCAGCCAUGCCGCGUGUGUGAAGAAGGUCUUCGGAUUGUAAAGCACUUUAAGUUGGGAGGAAGGGCAGUUGCCUAAUACGUAACUGUUUUGACGUUACCGACAGAAUAAGCACCGGCUAACUCUGUGCCAGCAGCCGCGGUAAUACAGAGGGUGCAAGCGUUAAUCGGAAUUACUGGGCGUAAAGCGCGCGUAGGUGGUUUGUUAAGUUGGAUGUGAAAUCCCCGGGCUCAACCUGGGAACUGCAUUCAAAACUGACUGACUAGAGUAUGGUAGAGGGUGGUGGAAUUUCCUGUGUAGCGGUGAAAUGCGUAGAUAUAGGAAGGAACACCAGUGGCGAAGGCGACCACCUGGACUGAUACUGACACUGAGGCGCGAAAGCGUGGGGAGCAAAC